rnacentral:rRNA from 1 species
UACGGGGGGGGCAAGCGUUGUUCGGAAUUACUGGGCGUAAAGGGCUCGUAGGCGGCCAACUAAGUCAGACGUGAAAUCCCCAGGCUCAACCUGGGAACUGCGUCUGAUACUGGAAGGCUUGAAUCCGGGAGAGGGAUGCAGAAUUCCAGGUGUAGCGGUGAAAUGCGUAGAUAUCUGGAGGAAUACCGGUGGCGAAGGCGGCAUCCUGGACCGGCAUUGACGCUGAGGAGCGAAAGCCAGGGGAGCAAACGGG